GUGGGGAAUAUUGCACAAUGGGCGCAAGCCUGAUGCAGCGACGCCGCGUGAGGGAUGGAGGCCUUCGGGUUGUAAACCUCUUUUGUUUGGGAGCAAGCCUUCGGGUGAGUGUACCUUUCGAAUAAGCGCCGGCUAACUACGUGCCAGCAGCCGCGGUAAUACGUAGGGCGCAAGCGUUAUCCGGAUUUAUUGGGCGUAAAGGGCUCGUAGGCGGCUCGUCGCGUCCGGUGUGAAAGUCCAUCGCUUAACGGUGGAUCUGCGCCGGGUACGGGCGGGCUGGAGUGCGGUAGGGGAGACUGGAAUUCCCGGUGUAACGGUGGAAUGUGUAGAUAUCGGGAAGAACACCGAUGGCGAAGGCAGGUCUCUGGGCCGUCACUGACGCUGAGGAGCGAAAGCGUGGGGAGCGAACAGGAUUAGAAACCCUAGUAGUCC
rnacentral:rRNA from 1 species